AGAGUUUGAUCCUGGCUCAGGAUGAACGCUGGCGGCGUGCCUAAUACAUGCAAGUCGAGCGAACGGACGAGAAGCUUGCUUCUCUGAUGUUAGCGGCGGACGGGUGAGUAACACGUGGAUAACCUACCUAUAAGACUGGGAUAACUUCGGGAAACCGGAGCUAAUACCGGAUAAUAUUUUGAACCGCAUGGUUCAAAAGUGAAAGACGGUCUUGCUGUCACUUAUAGAUGGAUCCGCGCUGCAUUAGCUAGUUGGUAAGGUAACGGCUUACCAAGGCAACGAUGCAUAGCCGACCUGAGAGGGUGAUCGGCCACACUGGAACUGAGACACGGUCCAGACUCCUACGGGAGGCAGCAGUAGGGAAUCUUCCGCAAUGGGCGAAAGCCUGACGGAGCAACGCCGCGUGAGUGAUGAAGGUCUUCGGAUCGUAAAACUCUGUUAUUAGGGAAGAACAUAUGUGUAAGUAACUGUGCACAUCUUGACGGUACCUAAUCAGAAAGCCACGGCUAACUACGUGCCAGCAGCCGCGGUAAUACGUAGGUGGCAAGCGUUAUCCGGAAUUAUUGGGCGUAAAGCGCGCGUAGGUGGUUUUUUAAGUCUGAUGUGAAAGCCCACGGCUCAACCGUGGAGGGUCAUUGGAAACUGGAAAACUUGAGUGCAGAAGAGGAAAGUGGAAUUCCAUGUGUAGCGGUGAAAUGCGCAGAGAUAUGGAGGAACACCAGUGGCGAAGGCGACUUUCUGGUCUGUAACUGACGCUGAUGUGCGAAAGCGUGGGGAUCAAACAGGAUUAGAUACCCUGGUAGUCCACGCCGUAAACGAUGAGUGCUAAGUGUUAGGGGGUUUCCGCCCCUUAGUGCUGCAGCUAACGCAUUAAGCACUCCGCCUGGGGAGUACGACCGCAAGGUUGAAACUCAAAGGAAUUGACGGGGACCCGCACAAGCGGUGGAGCAUGUGGUUUAAUUCGAAGCAACGCGAAGAACCUUACCAAAUCUUGACAUCCUUUGACAACUCUAGAGAUAGAGCCUUCCCCUUCGGGGGACAAAGUGACAGGUGGUGCAUGGUUGUCGUCAGCUCGUGUCGUGAGAUGUUGGGUUAAGUCCCGCAACGAGCGCAACCCUUAAGCUUAGUUGCCAUCAUUAAGUUGGGCACUCUAAGUUGACUGCCGGUGACAAACCGGAGGAAGGUGGGGAUGACGUCAAAUCAUCAUGCCCCUUAUGAUUUGGGCUACACACGUGCUACAAUGGACAAUACAAAGGGCAGCGAAACCGCGAGGUCAAGCAAAUCCCAUAAAGUUGUUCUCAGUUCGGAUUGUAGUCUGCAACUCGACUACAUGAAGCUGGAAUCGCUAGUAAUCGUAGAUCAGCAUGCUACGGUGAAUACGUUCCCGGGUCUUGUACACACCGCCCGUCACACCACGAGAGUUUGUAACACCCGAAGCCGGUGGAGUAACCUUUUAGGAGCUAGCCGUCGAAGGUGGGACAAAUGAUUGGGGUGAAGUCGUAACAAGGUAGCCGUAUCGGAAGGUGCGGCUGGAUCACCU
rnacentral:rRNA from 1 species